rnacentral:misc_RNA from 1 species
UUAAGUUCAGCGGGUAUCCCUACCUGAUCCGAGGUCAACCUGAGAAAAAUGGUCCAGACCGGGCCGCGCGGUCCCUGACAUGCGUGCUUAAAAAAGCUCGUUGCAUCUGGGGUCACACUCGACACGGUCAUUAUCUUUGGGACCUGUCCUUUAACCGGACAGCGGGUCCAAUGGCAAGCCAAGCUUGACGGUGAAAAUGA